rnacentral:lncRNA from 1 species
GGGGUAAAAUUGUAUUGAGAUGGAACUGAAUCCGCUCGUUGUAGGGGUGGCUUAUACUGUGGUAGUGGUGGAGGGUCAGACAGCUCCCUCCUCUCUUCUCUGGCCUGCUGGGCAGAGAUGAGUCUCUCUAACAUCUCAAAGAGCCGAUCAACAUCCUCUCAAAGUGACCCAUCUCGUGCUGCCCUGUUCAAUAGCUUGUACUUAUUUUUCACAACGAAUGAUUAAGAGAGUUUAUAUUUGGUGUUUUUAAGUCUCUGUGUAAGGAAU